rnacentral:rRNA from 1 species
CGGCAGGCCUAACACAUGCAAGUCGAGCCGCCCCCGCAAGGGGAGCGGCGGACGGGUGAGUAACGCGUGGGAACGUACCCUUUGCUACGGAAUAGCCUCGGGAAACUGGGAGUAAUACCGUAUGUGCCCUUCGGGGGAAAGAUUUAUCGGCAAAGGAUCGGCCCGCGUUGGAUUAGGUAGUUGGUGGGGUAAUGGCCUACCAAGCCGACGAUCCAUAGCUGGUUUGAGAGGAUGAUCAGCCACACUGGGACUGAGACACGGCCCAGACUCCUACGGGAGGUAGCAGUGGGGAAUCUUAGACAAUGGGCGCAAGCCUGAUCUAGCCAUGCCGCGUGAGCGAUGAAGGCCUUAGGGCUGUAAAGCUCUUCAGUGGGGAAGAUAAUGACUGUACCCACAGAAGAAGCCCCGGCUAACUCCGUG